UGCCUACAAAACAUAUGAGUGCGUGCCUGCAAAAUUAGUAUAAUUAAUAACUCAAAUUCAAUAUUCUAUGAUGACUGUGAUUUGGAAAAAGUAAGAAUAUUAGAUGAUAAUAAAAAUAAAGCAGGUGUAUAUUGUUGAAUAAAUAAUAUUAACUAUAAAUUAUAUGUAGGUAGCUCUAUUAAUUUAAGAACUAGAUUUUAUAAAUAUUAUAGUCUUAAACAUUUAAAUGAAAAUAGGACACCUAUUUAUAAUGCACUCUUAAAGUAUGGAUAUGGUAAUUUUUCAUUGGUAAUAUUAGAAUAUACCGGAGAAGGUACAAAUCCUAUAGAAAGAGAGCAACAUUAUUUAGACUUAUUGAAACCAGAAUACAACAUAUUAGAAAUAGCAGGUUCUAGUUUAGGUUAUAAACAUACAGAAGAAACUCUAAAGUAUUUUAAAGAAGAUCGAAUAAUUACAGAUGAAACUCGUGAAAACUUAAGUAUUGCAGCUAAAGAAAGAAUACUUCCGCAAGAAGUUAGAGAUAAAAUCUCUGAUAAACGUAAAGGUAUAAAACUUUCCGAGGCAACUCGUGCAAAGAUAUCAGAAUCAGCUAUAAUUUUAAGAGGAGUAAAAGUAAAUAUAACUAAUGUUGAAACAAAUGAAGUAUUGUCGUUUGACAAUAUGACUACUGCAGCCAAACAUAUAGGUGUGAGUAGACCAGCCGUGGCCAAGGCUUUAAAUAAAGGUAGCCUUAUUAAAGGUGUUUUUAAAAUCAAUUAAUAAUAAUUGAUUAUAUUGUAUUUAUUAUUUGCUAAAUGGAUGAUUAAGUCUUUGUAGGGACUUAAUUGUUUAGGGAGAAGGACUUCAGCUUUAUCUAAAUUAGAUAGAAGAAGUAGAUUUGUUUCUGCGAAACCUAUAAUAGUAGGCAAUUUAAGUAUAAUAUCUUAGCAGGUACAGAAUUUAAUCUCAGACAAGACAUUAAAUGUUUUAUUUUGUACAAAUGGGGGGAUCAUGAAGAUUUUAUCCGUGAGUAUGCAGACUCGGAAUGGCAAAGAUAUAUCUUAAAUUAUCAGACAUAGAAUGAUAAGGUUGUAUGUCAAAAGGGAAACAGCCCAGAACAAGAGUUAAGGUUCCUAAAUUAUUCGUUGAGUGAAAUUAAGAAGGUUUUUAUUAAAGUCGACAAGGAGAUAGGCUUAGAAGCAGCCAUAAUUUUAUGACCUCGUAACAGAGCGCUUGUUAAGUUUUAAAAGCAUCGAAAAUUUAUCGGAUCUAAACAAUAUACCGAAACCUUGUCCAUAAUAAUUUAUAAUAAUAAUUUAUAUUAUAAUUAAAUGGGGUAGCAGAACGUUGAGCUGAAUUAUGAUUUUUAUUUUUUAAAUAAAAUUAUAACAAUUUAACUCAAGCGAUAAUGGUGACAUGAGUAACUAAAAGAAAAUUUUCCGCCUAAAGCUUAUGGAUGUAAUUAAGUAACGGCCUCUAAGUUUAUAUUAUCUAAAGAUUUAAACGAUGAGAUAAUCUUUAUUACUAAGGACGACAUUUUAAGUGAAAAAUGUACUGGAAAAAUAGUAAUAUAUUUAUAUACAUACAUGUGUAUAAAUGAAAAGUAACCGUACCUAGAAUCUGAAACAAGUAAGCUAGUAGAGAAUACGAAGGCGUAAAUGAGCUAACAAUCAUAAAGGAACUCGGCAAAUUAAUUUUAAGUGAAAAAUGUACUGGAAAAAUAGUAAUAUAUUUAUAUACAUACAUGUGUAUAAAUGAAAAGUAACCGUACCUAGAAUCUGAAACAAGUAAGCUAGUAGAGAAUACGAAGGCGUAAAUGAGCUAACAAUCAUAAAGGAACUCGGCAAAUUGACUACCGUAACUUCGGGAUAAGGAGAGCUCAUUAUUCUUGAUUAAUAUCAAGUAAAGAGGAAGAAGCAUGAAAUAGUGUUGUACGACUGUUUAAUUAAAACACAGCACUUUGCUGAAAGAUUAAAAAUCUAAGUAUAGAGUGUGAUGUCUGCCCGGUGCCGGCUGGUUAACAGAUAUAAUUGGAUAUACUAAUAUCUGAUGUAGACGGAAACCCCGGUUAAAGGCGGCCUUAACGUGAGGGUCCUAAGGUAGCGAAAUGCCUUGGCCGUUAAAUGCGGUCUUGCAUGAAUGAUGUAACGAUACAACAGCUGUCUCUAUGAUUGACUCAGUGAAAUUGGAAUAGCUGUGCAGAUACAGUUUACCUCUAGUUAGACGAGAAGACCCUAUGCAGCUUUACUGUCACUAAUUAUAGAGUAUGAUAAACAAUUUUCAGUUUAUAAGGUAAUUGACUAGAUAACAAUGAGAAUCCUUUAUUUUUUUUUCAUAUGAAUGAAUUGAUUUAGGAUUACGGGAUGUUUUUAUUUUUAUAAACAACUCAUUUUAGUAAAUCAACCUAGUUCAGCUUAUUUUUAUAAUAUAAGUACCCUUUGGUGAGGAACUAUCGCUAGGGGACAGUUUAUGUGGGGCACAGACCCUGUAAAGAGUAAACAGGAGUGUCUAAUAAUUUAAAAUUAUUUUGUUUGCGAUUUAAGGUAGUUUAACUAUUUUUAAUCAUAUAAAAUUAUUUAUAUGUACAUUCUAUGCUUUGUCAUAAGUCUGUAUAUAUAUUUAAAAAAAGGUAGGAUUUUCACUAUAUAGAAAUUAGAGAUAAUUAGAAAUAUUAUGUACUUAGUGACUAAUGUUUUUUAACUAUUAAUAAUAGUUAUGUUUUAAAUAUCUAAAAAGCUCAACGGCUUAAUCUUGCCUUACUGUUUGAUUAUCAACAAAUCUUACAGUUGCGUAAGCAGGGCAUAGGAUCACAAGAUGCAACAAGGAAAGAUCUUGGAUUAUUGGAAAAGCUACGCUAGGGAUGUUUGUCCUUUAAUAUUUUAUUUGUAGUUGUGUGCUGUGUAGGCUAGGCACUAUGAAAUAAUUCAUAGAAGCAGCCAGCAUUGCUUAUUACAUGGUGAGCUAAAGCUAAAGCUAAAGCUUUAGCUAAGGCAGCUGUGUAAGUAAACAUGCCUACUGGGGAGUGUACUGC
rnacentral:rRNA from 1 species